AUACGUAGGGUGCAAGCGUUAAUCGGAAUUACUGGGCGUAAAGCGUGCGCAGGCGGUUAUGUAAGACAGAGGUGAAAUCCCCGGGCUCAACCUGGGAACUGCCUUUGUGACUGCAUGGCUAGAGUGCGGCAGAGGGGGAUGGAAUUCCGCGUGUAGCAGUGAAAUGCGUAGAUAUGCGGAGGAACACCGAUGGCGAAGGCAAUCCCCUGGGCCUGCACUGACGCUCAUGCACGAAAGCGUGGGGAGCAAACAGGAUUAGAAACCCUAGUAGUCC
rnacentral:rRNA from 1 species